UACGUAGGGUGCGAGCGUUGUCCGGAAUUAUUGGGCGUAAAGAGCUCGUAGGCGGUUUGUCGCGUCGGCCGUGAAAACUUGGGGCUUAACUCCAAGCUUGCGGUCGAUACGGGCAGACUUGAGUUCGGCAGGGGAGACUGGAAGUCCUGGUGUAGCGGUGAAAUGCGCAGAUAUCAGGAGGAACACCGGUGGCGAAGGCGGGUCUCUGGGCCGAUACUGACGCUGAGGAGCGAAAGCGUGGGGAGCGAACAGG
rnacentral:rRNA from 1 species